CACUGGUACUGAGACACGGACCAGACUCCUACGGGAGGCAGCAGUAGGGAAUAUUGGACAAUGGGCGAGAGCCUGAUCCAGCCAUGCCGCGUGUAGGAUGACGGCCUUCUGGGUUGUAAACUACUUUUCUACAGGAAGAAAAAGUCCAUGCGUGGACAAUUGACGGCACUGUAGGAAUAAGCACCGGCUAACUCCGUGCCAGCAGCCGCGGUAAUACGGAGGGUGCGAGCGUUGUCCGGAUUUAUUGGGUUUAAAGGGUGCGUAGGCGGCUCUUUAAGUCAGUGGUGAAAGCCCGCAGCUUAACUGUGGGACUGCCAUUGAUACUGGAGAGCUUGAGUACUGUUGAAGUAGCGGAAUUUAUGGUGUAGCGGUGAAAUGCAUAGAUACCAUAAAGAACACCGAUAGCGUAGCAGCUUACUAAGCCGUAACUGACGCUGAGCACGAAAGCAUGGGGAGCGAACAGGAUAGAUACCCUGGUAGUCCAUGCCGUAAACGAUGAUCACUCGCUGUUAGCGAUAUACUUGUUAGCGGCCAAGCGAAGCGUUAGUGAU
rnacentral:rRNA from 1 species